CCUACGGGAGGCAGCAGUGAGGAAUAUUGGUCAAUGGACGAGAGUCUGAACCAGCCAAGUAGCGUGAAGGAUGACUGCCCUAUGGGUUGUAAACUUCUUUUAUAUGGGAAUAAAAUGUCCUACGUGUGGGAUUUUGCAUGUACCUUAUGAAUAAGGAUCGGCUAACUCCGUGCCAGCAGCCGCGGUAAUACGGAGGAUCCGAGCGUUAUCCGGUUUUAUUGGGUUUAAAGGGUGCGCAGGCGGAUUUGUAAGUCAGCGGUCAAAUCGCGGGGCUCAACCCCAUCCAGCAGUUGAAACUGGGGGUCUAGAGUGUGCGAGAGGUAUGCGGAAUGCGUGGUGUAGCGGUGAAAUGCAUAGAUAUCACGAAGAACCCCGAUUGCGAAGGCAGCUUGCUGAACUGUGACUGACGUUGAUGCUCGAAAGUGUGGGUAUCGAACAGGAUUAGAUACCCUAGUAGUC
rnacentral:rRNA from 1 species